GGUCGCCUUUCUCAAACACUAGGUCUCUCCUCCGGAUAUCUGCAUAACUCUUCUGCCUGCUCUGAGCUGUCUGAAUGUUCUUCUUGAUUUUAACUAUCUUGGACGUGGUCUCCUCUACCAACUCCGGGUCGAACAAUCUUCUAUCGCCCACUUCCUCCCAACAAAUCAGUGACCUGCACGGGCGCCCAUAUAGCGCCUCAUAUGGAGCCAUGCCGAUACUUGCUUGGUAGCUGUUGUUGUAGGCAAAC
rnacentral:lncRNA from 1 species